CAGAGGGUGCAAGCGUUAAUCGGAAUUACUGGGCGUAAAGGGAGCGUAGGUGGCUCUAUAAGUCAGAUGUGAAAUCCCCGGGCGUUAACCUGGGACGUGCAUCUGAAACUGUAGAGCUAGAGUAUGUGAGAGGAAGGUAGAAUUCCAGGUGUAGCGGUGAAAUGCGUAGAGAUCUGGAGGAAUACCGAUGGCGAAGGCAGCCUUCUGGCAUAAUACUGACACUGAGGCUCGAAAGCGUGGUAGCAAACAGGAUU
rnacentral:rRNA from 1 species